AUACGUAGGGUGCAAGCGUUAAUCGGAAUUACUGGGCGUAAAGCGUGCGCAGGCGGUUUUGUAAGACAGAGGUGAAAUCCCCGGGCUCCACCUGGGAACUGCCUUUGGGACUGCAAGGCUAGAGUACGGCAGAGGGGGAUGGAAUUCCGCGUGUAGCAGUGAAAUGCGUAGAUAUGCGGAGGAACACCGAUGGCGAAGGCAAUCCCCUUGGCCUGUACUGACGCUCAUGCACGAAAGCGUGGGGAGCAAACAGGAUUAGAUACCCCGGUAGUCCACGCCCUAAACGAUGUCAACUGGUUGUUGGGGAUUUAUUUUCUCAGUAACGAAGCUAACGCGUGAAGUUGACCGCCUGGGGAGUACGGCCGCAAGGUUAAAACUCAAAUGAAUUGACGGGG
rnacentral:rRNA from 1 species